rnacentral:rRNA from 1 species
GUUUAUGGGCAUGCCACCCUCAACAUGCCCGAUCCCGUCUGAUCAUGGAAGCUAAGCAAGGUUGGGCCUGGUUAGCACUUGGAUGGGAGACCACCUAGGAAGACUGGGUGCUAUAGGCA